UACGAAGGGGGGCUAGCGUUGUUCGGAAUCACUGGGCGUAAAGGGCGCGUAGGCGGCUUUAUAAGUCGGGGGUGAAAGCCUGUGGCUCAACCACAGAAUUGCCUUCGAUACUGUAGAGCUUGAGACCGGAAGAGGUAAGUGGAACUGCGAGUGUAGAGGUGAAAAUUCGUAGAUAUUCGCAAGAACACCAGUGGCGAAGGCGGCUUACUGGUCCGGUUCUGACGCUGAGGCGCGAAAAGCGGUGGGGAGCAAACAGG
rnacentral:rRNA from 1 species